UACGUAGGGGUGCAAGCGUUAAUCGGAAUUACUGGGCGUAAAGCGUGCGCAGGCGGCUUUGCAAGACAGAUGUGAAAAUCCCCGGGCUUGAACCUGGGAACUGCAUUUGUGACUUGACAUGGCUGGAGUGCGGCAGAGGGGGAUGGAAUUCCGCGUGUCAGCAGUGAAAUGCGUAGAUAUGCGGAGGAACACCGAGUGGCGAAGGCAAUCCCCUGGGCCUGCACUGACGCUCAUGCACGAAAGCGUGGGGAGCAAACAGG
rnacentral:rRNA from 1 species